GAUAUUUCAAACAAAAAAAUUCAAUUUAUUUAAAUAUGAAUUUUCUCUCUCUGUGAUAUUUUCGUUUUCAAAUACAAAACUCGUCUCUUACCGGCCCUGUGACUUGUGUAGAAUCCAAAGAAAAGCUUCGACGGAGCGUUUAGGUCGACAACUCAAUACGUUUCCCCGAAAAUUAACAAGGAAUCCUAUGAUCUAUCUCCAGUCUCAGAGAUUUCUGAUGCUAAUCAUUGUUGCCAAACAGCAAUAAUCUCUAUUUUAGCUUUAAAUCCAGUUGUUUCAGCUCCUACAGAAACUUCCUCUGUCUCUGAUAAUAUUCCUACUUCAAAGAUCAGCACCAUUACUGAUGAGUCAGCCAGUGUUUCUACGGAUUGCUGUGGUCUUAACAAAGCAAGCAUCUCAAAGAUCGGUCAAGUGCAAAGACUGGAGGCAAAUAUUGUGGUGAUUUAUUCUCAAAGAAGAUCAAAUUGUAGUUUUGAAAGCAGAUGUUCAAUCAAAGAAGCUUAUGGGUGCAUUAAUUAAGGUUGUCAUAGAUGAACAUUACACUUUAACUGAAGAUAAAGACUUGGCGAUUGGCCUUGUUUCUAUGAAAUGGUGUGUUGUGUUUUUUAUGUUUCACAGGUUUUCAUUUAUGAUAUGCCAUUGCGAUUUUUUGAUUGACCUCAUAGUAGUUAUAGAGCAGGAUCAAGCUAGUUGAACACACUCCACAUCUAAUGGCUACCUGAACUAUUCUCACCCGCUGUAUAUGGUAAAUUGAGGCGAGUUACUGCUCAAAAUUUGACCCCCUUGUCAUUAUAAAUGCUCUUGUCCAGGUAAUAUGGUUUGCUCUAUCUGUUUUUUUCAAAACUUUGGCUUGUUGAUUCAUUCUCUCAAGGCUUUAACUAUGAUAUAAAUUAGGUUUCAAAUUGGUGAUAAGAUGUUUUUUUCUUUUCUUUGCAAGUAUAAAUUCCUCUCCGUACUUUUUUGGUCAAUGAAUGGCUAUUUUCUUAAAAUGGUAGUGUUUAUAAUCCCGAGUAACAUCUCUACCAAUUUCUUGACAUGACAAGAAAGCAUUUAGACUUUGAGAAAAACCCUGUUCACAACUACUGGAAGAGCUGCCUCUUUCUUAUUUCCCUUACAAACUUAUCGCUUGUACAAUUCUGGAGCAUCCACUGCAUUCUUUUAUGCCAGGGAGAGUGUUUCUGUAAAUUCAAAAUUUGCUUAAUGCUGCUGUUAGAACUCCGUUCGCCGAGAUGCAGUCAGUAUAAGUGGGCUACUGAUGUCGAGCCCCGUGUCUUUCAUUUUCUUGGGAUCUUGCUACAGAUCAUCCUCUGUAGUUUCCUCAGCGGGUAAUCCUAGCCCUUCGAUACAUCACUUCACUUCCGAGAAAUAGUUCAUUUCGGUCUGGUGUUUUGAGCAACCCCCCUCAAACUGGAUUUGAAAACUUAUUAUAUCAGUUCCUUCUAGAUAGUCUACUGGCAAUGGCAUGCUCGCUCGUUUUUCUUCUACCACAUCAACUGAGAUGCAUGGAUUUUUUGCCCCCGUGAUCUAGUUUGAUAAAUAGCAAGCCAAUGGCAACGUUAUUUUGACUUGCUCGGGCCUAGUUGAUAGCCCAUAGUUCGAUAAUGUUGAAAAUCAACGUCAUUAGGUAGCGAGUCCACACUAAAAUAGAGCGCUACUGCUCAUUUAUCUCUUCAUUAGAGAAGCACAACUCAAAAGUGAGAUUUCUGGUUCCCCUUUGACAUGGCUUGACAACCCAUCUCACCGCCCUGAGCUUGACAGCCACAUGAUGCUUUCCGUCUGGUGAUAAUUUGGGGAAGCCUGCUUUCAAAGACACGUUUUCCCCACCUAGCCAUCAAUUGGCACGACUUAUGUUGGGUAUUUUCCAUGAACGAUUUCAUUUAGGAUGCCAAAGGAGAAUGCAUUUCUUAUGUUGUAUCCACCCUAAAAAAAUUAUUACAAUUAACUUCUAUAUUAAGUGCAUCACUGGAUGGAAGCAUUUAAAUGCAUAGAAAUCAUAUAAUUACAGAUUCUGUGAUCCUUCUAUAAUUUUUAGUACUCUUGGUGCAAAAUUUUGCCAAAUCCAUGAUCAUAUUCUAUCCUCUAGAACAGUUUCCAGCUAGACUGUGUAAUAUCUACCACCUGAUUUUGUUGAGUGAAUGUGCUUUUAUCAUCUACUCACCAUCUAUCAUACAAUCCGAUUUGGUAGCAUGUGAUUUUCAAUCAGGGGUUGAUGGUGAAAUUACUCAGGUGAAGGAAGGAUUCAUCUUUAAUGACUCGUAGAUUUCUAUUGGUCGGAGGUUACCACAAUCCUAAUAUCGGCAAUUGUCUACAAGCAUUCUAUCAUUAAAUUUGAAUCUAGUGGAUCCGUUUCUAAUA